rnacentral:rRNA from 1 species
AUUGAACGCUGGCGGCAUGCCUUACACAUGCAAGUCGAACGGUAACAGGUUAAGCUGACGAGUGGCGAACGGGUGAGUAAUGUAUCGGGACGUGCCCAGUCGUGGGGGAUAACUGCUCGAAAGAGCAGCUAAUACCGCAUACGACCUGAGGGUGAAAGCGGGGGAUCGCAAGACCUCGCGCGAUUGGAGCGGCCGAUAUCAGAUUAGGUAGUUGGUGAGGUAAAGGCUCACCAAGCCGACGAUCUGUAGCUGGUCUGAGAGGACGACCAGCCACACUGGGACUGAGACACGGCCCAGACUCCUACGGGAGGCAGCAGUGGGGAAUUUUGGACAAUGGGCGCAAGCCUGAUCCAGCCAUGCCGCGUGCGGGAAGAAGGCCUUCGGGUUGUAAACCGCUUUUGUCAGGGAAGAAAAGGUUCUGGCUAAUACCUGGGACUCAUGACGGUACCUGAAGAAUAAGCACCGGCUAACUACGUG